UGGGUUUAAUUCGAUGAUACGCGAGGAACCGUUACCUGGGCUCAAAUGUAUGUUGACGUAAUUCUGAAAGGGAUACUUCUUCGGACAAUUAUACAAGGUGCUGCAUGGUUGUCGUCAGCUCGUGCCGUGAGGUGUCGGGUUAAGUCCCAUAACGAGCGCAACCCCUACCUUUAGUUGCCAUCAGGUUAAGCUGGGGACUCUAAAGGAACUGCCUACGCAAGUAGUGAGGAAGGCGGGGAUGACGUCAAAUCAGCACGGCCCUUACGUCCAGGGCUACACACGUGCUACAAUGGCCGAUACAGAGGGCAGCUACCUGGUGACAGGAUGCAAAUCUCCAAAGUCGGUCUCAGUUCGGAUCGGAGUCUGCAACCCGACUCCGUGAAGUUGGAUUCGCUAGUAAUCGCGCAUCAGCCAUGGCGCGGUGAAUACGUUCCCGGGCCUU
rnacentral:rRNA from 1 species